UCCUUAAACUCCUCUCAUGCCCUGUUGAGCAGAUAACAGUGUGAUGAUUGUGUCCUGCUGGUGCUGACAAAUGAAUUCAUGUAAUCACAGUUCUGUGUGUGUGUGUGUGUGUGUGUGUGUGUGUGUGUGUGUGUGUGUGUGUGUGUGUGUGUGUGUGUGUGUGUGUGUGUGUGUAUGAGAGAAUGGGUCCAGUGAUGCAAAACAUUCCAUUUUGCCAGUAAAAAAUGUGUGUGUUUUGUGUGUGUGUGUGUGUGUGUGUGUGUG